rfam:Jatropha curcas cultivar GZQX0401 scaffold455_57, whole genome shotgun sequence.
GGUCCCGUAGCUCAGAUGGCUAGAGCGUGGCUCUUAUGAGCCGAAGGUCGCAGGUUGAAGCCUCGCUGGGACCA